rnacentral:rRNA from 1 species
GAACUGAAGAGUUUGAUCAUGGCUCAGAUUGAACGCUGGCGGCAGGCCUAACACAUGCAAGUCGAGCGGAUGAAGGGAGCUUGCUCCUGGAUUCAGCGGCGGACGGGUGAGUAAUGCCUAGGAAUCUGCCUGGUAGUGGGGGAUAACGUCCGGAAACGGGCGCUAAUACCGCAUACGUCCUGAGGGAGAAAGUGGGGGAUCUUCGGACCUCACGCUAUCAGAUGAGCCUAGGUCGGAUUAGCUAGUUGGUGGGGUAAAGGCCUACCAAGGCGACGAUCCGUAACUGGUCUGAGAGGAUGAUCAGUCACACUGGAACUGAGACACGGUCCAGACUCCUACGGGAGGCAGCAGUGGGGAAUAUUGGACAAUGGGCGAAAGCCUGAUCCAGCCAUGCCGCGUGUGUGAAGAAGGUCUUCGGAU